rnacentral:rRNA from 1 species
CCUACGGGUGGCAGCAGUGGGGAAUAUUGCACAAUGGGGGAAACCCUGAUGCAGCGACGCCGCGUGAGUGAAGAAGCACUUCGGCAUGUAAAGCCCUAUCAGCAGGGAAGAAAAUGACGGUACCUGACUAAGAAGCACCGGCUAACUACGUGCCAGCAGCCGCGGUAAUACGUAGGGGGCAAGCGUUAUCCGGAUUUACUGGGUGUAAAGGGAGCGUAGACGGCCAGGCAAGUCAGAAGUGAAAGCCCAGGGCCCAACCCUGGGACUGCUUUUGAAACUGCGUGGCUGGAGUGCAGGAGGGGUAGGCGGAAUUCCUGGUGUAGCGGGGAAAUGCGUAGAUAUUAGGAGGAACACCAGUGGCGAAGGCGGCUUACUGGACUGUAACUGACGUUGAGGCUCGAAAGCGUGGGGAGCAAACAGGAUUAGAUACCCCAGUAGUC